rnacentral:rRNA from 1 species
GCAUAAUCAUUGGCCUAUUAAUCGGAGGCUUGUAUGAACGGACACACGAAAACGCAACUUUCUUAUCGAGGAAAAUAAAAAUUAACCUUCAAGUGAAGAGACUUGAGUACCAUAAAAAGACGAAAAGACCCUAUGGAGCUUUACUUAAGUUAUUAAACCACAAAUAAAAAAAGCUUUUUUUACUAAAAAAGUUUAGUUGGGGCGACUAAGGAGCACACACCACCCUCCUACUGACAAAAGACUCUAAAUCUACAAAAGAUCCACAAACGUGAAUAAAAAUCCAGCUACCCUAGGGAUAACAGGCUAAUCCUCCUUAAGAGCUCAAAUUGACAGGAGGGCUUGGCACCUCGAUGUUGGCUUAAGAUCUCUACUAAGUGCAGCAGCUUAGGUAGUAGGUUUGUUCAACCUUUAAAAUCUU